ensembl:lncRNA
GAGGCAGCCGGAGCCGGAGCCGCGCGCCGGGCUGUCCGGGCGCCCGCGAGAGCUCGCCGCGCGCCGGGGCUGGGACCGACUGGGCAGAGCGCGCCGGCGCCGCGGCCGCAGACAAAGGCGCCGCUCGCUCCCGGGCCGCCGCGCUCUCGGGCUCUGCCUUGGGGCUUAGUCACGCCCAACCACAGGCUUGUCAGGCUUUAACCUUGCGGAUGCUCUGGGUCCCUGACCCUGUGAGGCUGUGAAGGUGAUGCUCAGCUUUCCAGUUCUCUCUUCCUGCUUCACAGAUUCUCCCCAACUCGGACCCACAGUGGCUCUGGCAGCAGGCGGAGAGGGAAGAAAGACCCUUGCUUCCAGAAAAGCGCUGGUUUCGAGCAGUGGAGGAGAUAGAUGGAAGUAACCAGAGGGAUGGAUCAGGUUGGCAGCUCAGACGCUCCCAGGAGGAGGACCGCUCUGGGGACUGGCACCUCUGAACAAUGGCUCUCAGUCCUGUAUUUCCUGUAUUUCUGUCAGUCAUCUCCCAGGCACGCUGUCCUCUUUCCUUGCUCAGCCAUGUUCUUGUCUUUCUCUGAAGCAAUUAAAAAAAAAUUAUAUUCUGAAACAGUCUUGAGAAAUUGUGUUACUCCCCUUGCUGGCCUGACAAAGCUAUCAAGCUCUGACUGCCAUCUUUGAUGGUUUGGCAGAUAAUUUUCCAAUCUGGUGUUACAAAGGCCUAGCUCUAUUUGAUCAAGUAAUAAGAAGCCAUGUAAUGAGUUCUUAUAACUUCUGA